rnacentral:rRNA from 1 species
GAUGAACGCUGGCGGCGUGCCUAACACAUGCAAGUCGAGCGAAGCGCUGUUUUCAGAAUCUUCGGAGGAAGAGGACAGUGACUGAGCGGCGGACGGGUGAGUAACGCGUGGGCAACCUGCCUCAUACAGGGGGAUAACAGUUAGAAAUGACUGCUAAUACCGCAUAAGCGCACAGGACCGCAUGGUGUAGUGUGAAAAACUCCGGUGGUAUGAGAUGGACCCGCGUCUGAUUAGGUAGUUGGUGGGGUAAAGGCCUACCAAGCCGACGAUCAGUAGCCGACCUGAGAGGGUGACCGGCCACAUUGGGACUGAGACACGGCCCAAACUCCUACGGGAGGCAGCAGUGGGGAAUAUUGCACAAUGGGGGAAACCCUGAUGCAGCGACGCCGCGUGAAGGAAGAAGUAUUUCGGUAUGUAAACUUCUAUCAGCAGGGAAGAAGAUGACGGUAC